AAUCCAGCUCAGCAGCGACAGACUCAGAUGCCAUCCUGCAUGUGUCAGUUCACCUGGUGAAUGGCGAGCCUGAAGGCUGGUGGGAGCCUUUACCCCUUUAAGUCAACAACAACAACAACUAAAAUCCCAAAAAUCCAGUUUAGACAAUCAUCAACAGAACAAUCAAAAAUCUCUUUGUGACCAAAAGAUAUUUUUACCUGUAUGUAAUUGUCUUCCCUUUUGUCUGAGGCCUUAGCUGAUCAAGGAUCCAGCAUUCUUAAACUUUGAGUGAGACCAGAGCACCCCAUGCAGCACAGCCAACAUCAAAGUCCCGAAUGAGAUCAGCCGCCCCGGAAAAUUCUUGAGAGUGCAUAUCAUCACAUUCCAAUGGUUCUGGCUUUAAUUUUUUCCUCUCUAUUUCUGAACUGUAGUUUCUUAAUUGAAACCACACAAAGCUACUUGAGCACUCUGUCUUAAAGGGACAGAAGGACACCUUCUGGAGGAAUGAAGGGAGAGGAUUAAUGACUUGAUGACUCUUCUUGCAGAACCAGCUGACUCUAGAGACUCAGCAGGAAGCUGCUAUCCAGUGUGACAUCAGAGACCCUCUACAGCCCAUCGCCACGUGUCUGCAGUCCUGUCAUCAUCGCUCCUUCUAGGCUGAGACACUGAACACCGCUUUUUAAAUGCAAACUUCAUAUAAUUCAAAUGUUCAUCAGUCGGGACCCUUGGUCCCAUGUAACAGAAAACUUGAGUCAGGCAGUUUGCAGUUAAAGGAAUUGUAACAUCAGAUGACUAAGAAGAGCAAGGAGGGGUUGUUAGUUUCAGGCACAGCUGGAUCCAGACGCUCAAAGGAUGCCAUCAGGUCCUGACUAACGUCUCCUGGGCUCUGGGCUCGUCCCCUCCCUCUUGGGUCCAUUCUUAGAGAGAAUCUCCUGUCACGGCUGCAGGACAGACGAGUCCAGUAGAAAAGAGUCUCUGUGCACCCCCAGAAGCCACAGCAACAGUGUCCUCGCAUCUCCUUGGUCCUGAGUGUGUCACACGUCUGUCCCUGAACCAGUCAGAGCUGCCAGGAAAGGAAAGCCCUAGGAUCUCAGUCCGCCUGACACAGAGGGCUGGUCAAGCCACGUGGUUUCACAGACUGGAAGGAAAGUCUGAAGAAACACCCUCGGGGAGAGUGAGAGUGACUCAGCUCCAGGGGGAGCAACUGAUGGGCAGACUUUUCGGGGCACCACGACGGGCUCCAGCCACACCAGAAUCUGUGUCUCUUCUCCACAGAUCC
rnacentral:lncRNA from 1 species